rnacentral:rRNA from 1 species
GACGAACGCUGGCGGCGUGCUUAACACAUACAAGUCGAACGGAAAGGCCCUGCUUUUGUGGGGUGCUCGAGUGGCGAACGGGUGAGUAACACGUGAGUAACCUGCCCUUGACUUUGGGAUAACUUCAGGAAACUGGGGCUAAUACCGGAUAGGAGCUCCUGCUGCAUGGUGGGGGUUGGAAAGUUUCGGCGGUUGGGGAUGGACUCGCGGCUUAUCAGCUUGUUGGUGGGGUAGUGGCUUACCAAGGCUUUGACGGGUAGCCGGCCUGAGAGGGUGACCGGCCACAUUGGGACUGAGAUACGGCCCAGACUCCUACGGGAGGCAGCAGUGGGGAAUAUUGCACAAUGGGCGGAAGCCUGAUGCAGCAACGCCGCGUGCGGGAUGACGGCCUUCGGGUUGUAAACCGCUUUCGCCUGUGACGAAGCGUGAGUGACGGUAAUGGGUAAAGAAGCACCGGCUAACUACGU